GAUGAACGCUAGCGGCAGGCCUAAUACAUGCAAGUCGAACGGUGUCUUCGGACAUAGUGGCGCACGGGUGCGUAACACGUAUGCAACCUACCUUACAUUGGGGGAUAGCCUUUCGAAAGGGAGAUUAAUACCGCAUAAGACAGUAGCUGGGCAUCCAGCAGCUGUUAAAGAUUUAUCGAUGUAAGCUGGGCAUGCGUCCAAUUAGCUAGUUGGUGAGGUAACGGCUCACCAAGGCAAUGAUUGGUAGGGGAACUGAGAGGUCGAUCCCCCACACUGGCACUGAGAUACGGUCCAGACGCCUACGGGAGGCAGCAGUAGGGAAUAUUGGGCAAUGGACGCAAGUCUGACCCAGCCAUGCCGCGUGCAGGAUGAAGGCGUUAUGCGUUGUAAACUGCUUUUAUACAGGAAGAAACGACUCUUGCGAGAGGCAUUGACGGUACUGUAUGAAUAAGCACCGGCUAACUCCGUGCCAGCCGCCGCGGUAAGAC
rnacentral:rRNA from 1 species